AGCGUGGAGACAGGUGGUGCACGGCUGUCGUCAGCUCGCGUCGUGAGAUGUUGGGUUAAGUCCCGCAACGAGCGCAACCCUCACCUCUUGUUGCCAUCAGGUCAUGCUGGGCACUCUAGAGGAACUGCCCCGGUCAACGGGGAGGAAGGCGGGGAUGACGUCAAGUCAUCAUGCCCCUUACGUCCUGGGCUACACACGUGCUACAAUGGCCGGUACAAAGGGAUGCCACACCGCGAGGUAGAGCUAAACCCAAAAAGCCGGUCUAAGUUCAGAUUGGAGUCUGCAACUCGACUCCAUGAAGGAGGAAUCGCUAGUAAUCGCGUAUCAGCACGACGCGGUGAAUACGUUCCCGGGCCUUGUACACACCGCCCGUCACACCACGAAAGCCUGCUGUACUCGAAGUCGCUGAG
rnacentral:rRNA from 1 species